GGGGGUGACAAGGUUUCGACGGAGGUAGAUGAGAUAUAGGUUGCAUGCCGAGGAUUCCGCAGGCCUCGUUAAAUUGGCGGAACAACUAUAAUUGCUGAUGAAGAAUUAGCACUGGCCGCUUAAUGCGGCCACGCUUGGCUGACCUGCCGCCUGUCAGGGAGGCUAAAGCGUCGCAAGACAGGCUAGCCGUUCGCAUUUUCUCAAGGAGCGAACCGCGAAUCUUUACUUGAGAUAGCCGCUCACGAUGCUUGCACAGGCGCAUCGGAGUGGCGAACCCUAAUCCUGUGACAAGCAUGUAGUAGCCUCUAUUGAAAUGCCUUCGGACGCGGGUUCGAUUCCCGCCACCUCCACUU
rnacentral:tmRNA from 1 species